AGUGAACGCUGGCGGUAGGCCUAACACAUGCAAGUCGAACGGCAGCACAGGAGAGCUUGCUCUCUGGGUGGCGAGUGGCGGACGGGUGAGGAAUACAUCGGAAUCUACUCUGUCGUGGGGGAUAACGUAGGGAAACUUACGCUAAUACCGCAUACGACCUACGGGUGAAAGCAGGGGACCUUCGGGCCUUGCGCGAUUGAAUGAGCCGAUGUCGGAUUAGCUAGUUGGCGGGGUAAAGGCCCACCAAGGCGACGAUCCGUAGCUGGUCUGAGAGGAUGAUCAGCCACACUGGAACUGAGACACGGUCCAGACUCCUACGGGAGGCAGCAGUGGGGAAUAUUGGACAAUGGGCGCAAGCCUGAUUCAGCCAUACCGCGUGGGUGAAGAAGGCCUUCGGGUUGUAAAGCCCUUUUGUUGGGAAAGAAAUCCAGCUGGUUAAUACCCGGUUGGGAUGACGGUACCCAAAGAAUAAGCACCGGCUAACUUCGUGCCAGCCGCCGCCGUAA
rnacentral:rRNA from 1 species